AGCCCGGUCGUCUAGCGGCCAAGGAUUCCAGGCUCUGGACCUGGAGACAGCAGUUCGAAUCUGCUCCGGGCUACCA
rnacentral:tRNA from 1 species